AGUCGACGCUUUGUGGUUCAACUGAUUUGAAGAGCUUGCUCAGAUAUGACGAUGGACAUUGCAAAGAGUGGCGAACGGGUGAGUAACACGUGGGAAACCUACCUCUUAGCAGGGGAUAACAUUUGGAAACAGAUGCUAAUACCGUAUAACAAUAGCAACCGCAUGGUUGCUACUUAAAAGAUGGUUCUGCUAUCACUAAGAGAUGGUCCCGCGGUGCAUUAGUUAGUUGGUGAGGUAAUGGCUCACCAAGACGAUGAUGCAUAGCCGAGUUGAGAGACUGAUCGGCCACAAUGGGACUGAGACACGGCCCAUACUCCUACGGGAGGCAGCAGUAGGGAAUCUUCCACAAUGGGCGAAAGCCUGAUGGAGCAACGCCGCGUGUGUGAUGAAGGGUUUCGGCUCGUAAAACACUGUUGUAAGAGAAGAAUGACAUUGAGAGUAACUGUUCAAUGUGUGACGGUAUCUUACCAGAAAGGAACGGCUAAAUACGUGCCAGCAGCCGCGGUAAUACGUAUGUUCCAAGCGUUAUCCGGAUUUAUUGGGCGUAAAGCGAGCGCAGACGGUUAUUUAAGUCUGAAGUGAAAGCCCUCAGCUCAACUGAGGAAUUGCUUUGGAAACUGGAUGACUUGAGUGCAGUAGAGGAAAGUGGAACUCCAUGUGUAGCGGUGAAAUGCGUAGAUAUAUGGAAGAACACCAGUGGCGAAGGCGGCUUUCUGGACUGUAACUGACGUUGAGGCUCGAAAGUGUGGGUAGCAAACAGGAUUAGAUACCCUGGUAGUCCACACCGUAAACGAUGAGUG
rnacentral:rRNA from 1 species